rnacentral:lncRNA from 10 species
GUAGGAACUCAGAAGCCUGAGGCAUGUGGUAGAUGAUGUCUAUCUUGCACUUGGUUGAAGAACUUCCAACUAAAAAAUAACACAAGUAAACAUCUUGUGUUUCUACGCACAUGAAACUCAUAUAUCUUAUCCAUCAGUGGUAGCUUGUCUCCAAAGACAUUCACCAUUAAUCCCUUCCCUUUGUGCACAUACAUGCCAUUCCCCUAUGGAGAGGUGGAAACUACCCCUCCUCCUUCUUGAAUCUUGGCUGGUCUGUACUUGCCUUUCGCUAUCAGAAUAUGGCAUAAGAGACCUGGGCCAUUUCUGGGCUAAGGUUCUAAGAUUAUUGGUAGUUUCUGCUUCCUGUUUCUUCCUUUUCUUAGAGCAUUAAGUCACCAUACAGUACAUCUAGACUACUCUUCUGGAGAAAGACACCAUGUGGAGGAGCAUGGAGGCAAUAAAAUAGAGGGUGAAGAAGCUGUCUUGGAAGCCCAGCCCAGACAAGCCUCCAGAUGACUCAACUGCUGACUGCCAUUGCAUGAGAACCAACCAGCCAGAAACACCCCCUGCCAUAUCAGCCAGGUCAGAGCUGCAGCAGGCUCCAGCAACUGUUUGAAAGUCUUGAGCAUUGUCAGAUCUCGGAGGAGAUCAAAAGAAACAGUCAAGCCGUAUGGAGAGGGGAGGAGGCCAGAGAGAACUGACCUGCCACAUUCUUUCAGACCUCCAAGCUGGCAGGAGACUGCAUUCCCUGAACACCACUCCUAAACCUCCUGGAUACAGCAGUCUCCACCCUGGGCCCAGAGGCUUCUCUGGGGGAAAGAGGCAAAGACACGCCAGGAAAAUGAUCAUUUCAGGAACUGUGAAGUGUUAAAGAGAAAGUAUAUUAGAACUAUUAUGAAGUCACAGGAGAAGCCAUAUGAGUUGUCAGUGGUUGCUGUCUUUGCUACCCUUUCUUAAUGAUGCUGGCUCCCAUAUCUCAGCUUCAACUAGAGUCCUUUCAUAGAAUUGUCCCUCUCCCUCUCCCUCCCCCUCCCUCCCCCUCCCCCUCCCCCUCUCCCCACGGUCUCCCUCUCCCUCUCUUUCCACGGUCUCCCUCUGAUGCCAAGAUGAAGCUGGACUGUACUGCUGCCUUCUCGGCUCACUGCAACCUCCCUGCCUGAUUCUCCUGCCUCAGCCUGCCCAGUGCCUGGGAUUGCAGGCGCGUGCCGCCACACCUGACUGGUUUUCGUAUUUUUUUGGUGGAGACGGGGUUUCGCUGUGUUGGCCUGCCUGGUCUCCAGCUCCUAACCGCGAGUGAUCUGCCAGCCUCGGCCUCCUGAGGUGCUGGGAUUGCAGACGGAGUCUCUCAUUCACUCAGUGCUCAAUGUUGCCCAGGCUGGAGUGCAGUGGCGUGAUCUCGGCUCGCUACAACCUCCACCUCUCAGCUGCCUGCCUUGGCCUCCCAAAGUGCCGAGAUUGCAGCCUCUGCCCGGCCGCCACCCCGUCUGGGAAGUGGGGAGCGUCUCCCUGGCCGCCCAUCUUCUGGGAUGUGAGGAGCCCCUCUGCCCGGCUGCCCAGUCUGGGAAGUGAGGAGUGCCUCUUCCCGGCCGCCAUCCCGUCUAGGAAGUGAGGAAUGUCUCUGCCCGGCCACCCAUCAUCUGGGAUGUGAGGAGCGCCUCUGCCCGGCCACGACCCUGUCUGGGAGGUGAGGAGCAUCUCUGCCCGGCAGCCGCCCCGUCUGGGAAGUCAGGAGUGUCUCCGCCCGGCAGCGCCCAGUCUGGGAGGUGGGGGGCAGCCCCCACCUGGCCAGCCGCCCCGUCCGGGAGGGAGGUGGGGGCACCUCCGCCUGGCCGCCGCCCCGUCCGGGAGGUGGGGGGCGCCUCUGCCCGGCCGCCCCUUCUGGGAAGUGAGGAGCCCCUUUGCCCGGCUGCCACCCCGUCUGGGAGGUGUACCCAACAGCUCAUUGAGAACGGGCCAUGAUGACGAUGGCGGUUUUGUCGAAUAGAAAAGGGGGAAAUGUGGGGAAAAGAUAGAGAAAUCAGAUUGUUGCUGUGUCUGUGUAGAAAGAAGUAGACAUAGGAGACUCCAUUUUGUUCUGUACUAAGAAAAAUUCUUCUGCCUUGGGAUGCUGUUAAUCUAUGACCUUACCCCCAACCCUGUGCUCUCUGAAACAUGUGCUGUGUCCACUCAGGGUUGGAUGGAUUAAG